AGUGAACGCUGGCAGUAGGCCUAACGCAUGCAAGUCGAACGGCAGCACAGUAAGAGCUUGCUCUUACGGGUGGCGAGUGGCGGACGGGUGAGGAAUACAUCGGAAUCUACUUUUUCGUGGGGGAUAACGUAGGGAAACUUACGCUAAUACCGCAUACGACCUACGGGUGAAAGCAGGGGAUCUUCGGACCUUGCGCGAUUGAAUGAGCCGAUGUCGGAUUAGCUAGUUGGCGGGGUAAAGGCCCACCAAGGCGACGAUCCGUAGCUGGUCUGAGAGGAUGAUCAGCCACACUGGAACUGAGACACGGUCCAGACUCCUACGGGAGGCAGCAGUGGGGAAUAUUGGACAAUGGGCGCAAGCCUGAUCCAGCCAUACCGCGUGGGUGAAGAAGGCCUUCGGGUUUUAAAGCCCUUUUGUUGGGAAAGAAAAGCAGCAGGUUAAUACCCCGCUGUUCUGACGGUACCCAAAGAAUAAGCACCGGCUAACUUCGUG
rnacentral:rRNA from 1 species